rnacentral:rRNA from 1 species
AGUGAACGCUGGCGGCGUGCCUAACACAUGCAAGUCGAAGGAAGUGGCGCACGGGUGAGUAAUAUAUAGCUAAUCUUCCCCUUGCUGGAGGACAAAAGACAGAAAUGACUGCUAAUACCCGAUAGCAAGGGAUGAGGCUAUAUCGUAUCAGCUAGUCGGUGGGGUAACGGCGUACCGAGACUAUGACGCGUAACUGGUGUGAGAGGAUGCUCAGUCACAUCGGAACUGAGACACGGUCCGAGCACCUACGGGAAGCGGCAGUAGGGAAUAUUACGCAUUGGGGGAGACCCUGACACUGCACCGCCUCGUAGAGGAUGACACUUUUCGUAGCUUAGACUCCUUUUAUUAGGCAAACGGUACCUAACGAAUAAGCACCGGCUAACUCCGUGCCAGCAGCCGCGGUAAUAC